GCCGCCGUAGCUCAGUGGUAGAUCAUCAGACUCGGCAUUCGAAGGUCGCAGGUUCGGUACCUGCCGGCGGCA
rnacentral:tRNA from 1 species